CUCAGAGUCUCUUCUCCAGGACACAAGAGUAAAAAGCUGAUUUCUGGAUUAUAAGGACCAUUUGAAAGGAGGAAAAGCCAUGGUACAUCUCUGGAAUGGAUGGUAAGAAAGUCCUCAAAUGUAAGUUGAAAGUUAGCAGAGAUCUGGUUUUGGUGAUAGUGCCUCCAAAAUACCUUGAAUGGGUGGGUGGAAAUGCACUGGAAUAGAGAUGCAAGGGAAAGCUUUAUUGCCAUAACAACUGCUGGAUGAUGACUCUACACAACUCUGAGGCUAUUUAGUUAAAAUUAAGAAUGCUGCUAUCUUUUCUCCUUAUCUUUCUUUAUAUUUGCUAUUGCUCUGAGUUUAUUUCUCUUUGGAUAUCAUGGAUAUUGCAGUGCCUGCUAUUUGGCCAAGGGAAGAGAUUUCAGGGGGCUCUUUUUAUUCUCUGGGUUGUACGUAAGAUGGGCAGAAAUGCAGUCAGUGGUUGUUCCCUUUUCUCACAGAAGUGAUCCUGGCAGAUGCUUGUGGUAAUUUUUCCCUUGUUAUAUUGACACUCCUAUGUGAUGUUCUCUGGGGCUUUCUUAUGUUGCUGCUUCUACAGUCUUACAAAAAUUGCCAUUUUUUCUCUGCAGUGUACAUUUUUCUUUAUUAUCUACAGUUUUGCACCUUCUGUAUUAUCCAGGAGAAUUUGGCCUUUGCAGUUGUCCUGGAAAUUAAACCCAAUGCAGCACCAUCAGAUCCACAAGAAAAAGUGUCUGUUCUUGCAUUUCUGUUUUGAACAAAAGGUGGAUGUUUCAGAAGCUGUUCAACUUAUUCACUGUCUGCACUUUAAAAUCCAAACUAAUCUGUACAUUACAAACCCUGAACUCCAGCAUUUCUGAGAGCUGUGAAUUACUGUUUCCACUUGUGCUAAACUUCUGGAAAUAGAAAACAGAAAUUUACAUUCACUUUUUGGGAAUGAUCAUGGAGGAUCCACCUUUUCCCAUCCCGUCGUGUGGUCAGCACCCUGCCAGAUGGGAGUUUCUGUCAUAUUUCUGCCAUCCUAUUCCCUAACCCUUUGUGGAGCUACCUUUUUGUGUUCAGCUGAUGAUAUAAUUUUCAAAUACAAAGGACACCCUCUGAUCUCUGUUUUUCAGAGCCAGCACCUUUGGUUCUGGUGCCCUGAUUAGAGAUGUGCCCUUUGCAGUGAUUUGGAGCUGUGAAAUGGCUCCUGUCGCUCCACUCUGAGGCUCUGGGUAUCUCACAGGAUAAAUCUGGAAGAGCUGUAGAGCGCAGAUGAUUUUUGGCAAGUAUCAUUUUAUCAUCAAAAUUUUAUUUUUGGGUUGCUCUUCAGCUGCCGCCUUCUGUGAAGGAGAAAGACGCCCAUUUGAUGGCUUUUAUGAUGUAUUCCCG
rnacentral:lncRNA from 1 species